rnacentral:rRNA from 1 species
CCUACGGGGGGCAGCAGUGGGGAAUAUUGGACAAUGGGGGAAACCCUGAUCCAGCGACGCCGCGUGAGUGAAGAAGUAUUUCGGUACGUAAAGCUCUAUCAGCAGGAAAGAAAAUGACGGUACCUGACUAAGAAGCCCCGGCUAACUACGUGCCAGCAGCCGCGGUAAUACGUAGGGGGCAAGCGUUAUCCGGAUUUACUGGGUGUAAAGGGAGCGUAGACGGCAGCGCAAGUCUGGAGUGAAAUGCCGGGGCCCAACCCCGGAACUGCUCUGGAAACUGUGAAGCUGGAGUGCAGGAGAGGUAA